UACGUAGGGUGCGAGCGUUAAUCGGAAUUACUGGGCGUAAAGCGUGCGCAGGCGGCGCGUUAAGACAGGUGUGAAAUCCCCGGGCUCAACCUGGGAAUUGCAUCUGUGACUGCAUCGCUAAAGUACGGUAGAGGGGGAUGGAAUUCCGCGUGUAGCAGUGAAAUGCGUAGAUAUGCGGAGGAACACCGAUGGCGAAGGCAAUCCCCUGGACCUGUACUGACGCUCAUGCACGAAAGCGUGGGGAGCAAACAGG
rnacentral:rRNA from 1 species